rnacentral:lncRNA from 11 species
UGACAGAAUUGGAAUAAAGGCUUGACAGAUGAAACUAACACUCAAGGUACUUUAACAGCUCUGACCUCCAGCCAUUCCAGACCUUAAUCAUAAAAAAAAGAAAAUGUAGAAAGGAGUUAAAAAACAUCUUAGCAGAAUAUUUAAUGAUGAAUUUUGCAGGUGAAGAAGCAAAACCCUAGAAGUGAGAAGCUUUUUUAAAAAAAUGAGAUUGAAAUAUAUGCAUUGGCAUUUUCUACUUUUCACUAAAGAUAAAAGUCAGAAAUAGAAAGAGAGAGCUUCAGAUUAUCACUAUGGUACUUUUUUCAAAAUAUGGUUUUUAACAAGCAUUGAAAUUCUCCUUGUUAUUUGUAGUAGCUUCAUGUUAUGGUCAGUUAAAUCCUGAUAAUUAUUUCACUACACAAAACAAUUUUGGCUGGUCACACACUUUAAAAUAUUAUCUCUGAAAAAUGCAUUCUAUAUUGCUGUAUAUGCAUGUAUUUGACUAAGUUUCUGUGGGAUCACUACUUGUGUAUGUGUUAAGGGAAAAACACCUGGUCAAUUACAACUCAUAGUUGAGUAAUUAGAACAAUCAAGGCUAACAAGCUUGAACCACUCCCUGAAUGGGGUAUAACUUGGGGGAAUAGUGUAAUGUUUUUUGGGACUUACUGAAUCACCUGCUUCAGAACUUGCUGAGAGCCUACUAUGAAGAAAUCUCUAAAGAAGAUACAUGAGUUUAAUACAAGGAACUUUAUGCAUCCAUUUAUCUAACCAAGAAGAGGACAAGACAGAAGUAGCCAGAUAAGAUUUGCCUUAUUUUUACUAUUUUACAAAUAAAAGGAUGAACAAAAAU